AUAAGAGUUUGUGCUGUAUGAAAUUGACAGGAAUUAAGCCGGGAUCAAUUUGCCAAGUUUUGUUACCUGCCACCUGGAUUUGUUAUCCUGGAUUAUCCAGGUGGGCCCUAUGAAAUUGCAACAGCCCUUAUAAGAAGGAGGCAGGAGGGUUAGAGAGGAUGUGAUGACCAAAGCAGAGGUGAGAGAGGCAAGAUACGUGAUACGUUGCUGGCUUUUGAAGAUAGAGGAAGAAUCUGGGAUUCGAGGAAUGGAGGCAGCCUCUAGAAGCUAGGAAGGUACAGUAUUUCCAUCAAUUCUCACCAGAGGGAGCAACUGUCUUUAAGAAAGUGAUGUGCCUAGUCUAUGGCGGAAGAACUGUGGAAUGGUCUUUCAGUGAUCUCUCUCUCUGUAGCCUAGGCUACAGUACAGUGGCA